CAGCUACAUGGGUUGGAGGAGGCUUCAUUGUGGGCACAGCUGAGAUGGUGUACACUCCGUCCAUGGGACUAACCUGGGCAGCCACCAUGUUAACUGCAUACAGCUUAUCUUUUAUUCUAUGUGGCCUGGUGUUUGCUAAACCACUAAGAGAAAUGAACUGGUCACCAUGAUGGACCCUUUCCACAUCAAGUAUUGACCAGUUCUGACAGCUGGACUGAGUCUGGCCUCAAUCUCUCUUGAUAUACUGUGUCAAGCAUUAAUACUGAUUUGUUUAGGAGGCACCAUGAGUGUGGUCCUGGAUUUGCCCUACACUCUGUGUAUCUGGAUCUCUGCUGCAGUGGUCAUCAUCUACACUCUGCUGGGAGGUCUCUACUCUGUGGCCUACACUGAUAUUAUUCAGCUUCUUCUUAUAUUCAUU